rnacentral:lncRNA from 1 species
ACACUCACUCUCACCUCUCCCGUCCACUCACUCUCACCUCUCUCGUCCAGCAGCAGCCGCCACCUCCAUUGUUGCCCUCCCCUCCUCUCCUCUCCUCUCCUCUCUUUCGGUUCCCAGCUGCUCCUCCCUUGUAGCUGCCCUCCUCUCUUCCUUGCGGCUGCUGCUACAAGCGCGCAGACCUGCAGAUCUAGUAGGUGCACAUGUCCAACUGUGCAAGGGAGGAGGACUGCACGACAAAGAUGAGUUCGUCCUCCUUAGUUCAGUCAUCAGUCGUCACCUCCUCGCUCAAGCUUGAUGCUCUCCCUGUGCUUGAGCUUGAUGCUAUGUUUCUCUGUGUACUUGUGUAGAUCUAGAUCGACAAUGGAAGCGUGCAGUGGGAGUGUACAUGCCUAAGGUCAUUCAAGGAGAAGUUGGUUCUGCUCCAACCUCCUCAGUUGCAUUAGGUUCACCUGUUGCUUGUUCAGCAUCCGUAGGUGCUCCAGAUCGGGCUACAGGGGGUGAUUCAAGAGGAGGUUGAAGCCUGGUGCUUGGCUGGCUAUAGGCAGCUGACGGCGCUUGUCGUGUCCUUCUAGGUGUGCUGCCUGCGUCACGUUUUACACUGUUGUUUUAUGUAAUCACAACCACAUGUCUGCUUCUUUUGGAGUUUCGUGGGAUUACCGUCACCCCAACGCUAUGUAACAAAACUCCAUUCUACUUAAUGAAAAACAUGCUUAGGCAUGAUCGCUAAAAAAAGUUGCUCCAGAUCUUGCAUCUCUUGUUGAGAAGGUCCUAUCGAAGCUACCUCCAGAAAUGGCUGCUGAAGGCAAAGA